rnacentral:rRNA from 1 species
UACGUAGGGUGCAAGCGUUGUCCGGAAUUAUUGGGCGUAAAGAGCUCGUAGGCGGCUUGUCGCGUUGUCCGUGAAAAUUUACCGCUCAACGGUGAACUUGCGGGCGAUACGGGCAGGCUAGAGUACUGCAGGGGAGACUGGAAUUCCUGGUGUAGCGGUGAAAUGCGCAGAUAUCAGGAGGAACACCGGUGGCGAAGGCGGGUCUCUGGGCAGUAACUGACGCUGAGGAGCGAAAGCGUGGGGAGCAAACAGG